rnacentral:rRNA from 1 species
UACGAAGGGGGCGAGCGUUGUUCGGAUUCAUUGGGCGUAAAGGGUGCGUAGGCGGCGCGGUAAGUCGGGUGUGAAAUCUCGGGGCUUAACUCCGAAACUGCAUUCGAUACUGCCGUGCUUGAGGACUGGAGAGGAGACUGGAAUUUACGGUGUAGCGGUGAAAUGCGUAGAUAUCGUAAGGAAGACCAGUGGCGAAGGCGGUUCUCUGGACAGUUCCUAACGCUGAGGCACGAAGGCCUGGGGAGCAAACGGG